AUUUAAAUCUCAGGUACAACUGAACUUAUCUGUCCACCAAUCAGCGAGCUGGGUUCUGUUGUGACCUUGACUUGCAUUGGAGCUGGUGCGGCCCACGCGCACGCCUACUCGACACCUGGUGGAAAUACUGCUGCCUCGUGCGAUCUGAAUGACGGACAGUGUAUAAACUUUGGAAACUUCAAGUCAGCUGUCCUCAAUGCCAGUCACAGUGCUCUGACAAUACCCCAUGCACUUAAGACACAUGCAGGUGUGUGGAAGUGUGUCAACGAUGCAGACUCUACAACGCCAACAACGUGUAACGUCGUCAUUGCAAAGGGACCAUCAUGCACCAUGACUGGCGAUAGGAAUACAAGUGCACUUAGAGUUGAUGAUGUCAUCACGCUGACGGUGAACAUCAACGACUACUUCUCGACCGAGCUUGCAAGGAUUGCCCUGGUUGUUGGAAAUAUUCAAAUAAUCUCCAUCAGUAAGUUCGUUACCGAAAUGGCGAACGAGACACUCGUGGUAACGUUGCAGCUACGCGAGGGUCAUUUCGGAAACGUGACUAUAACCUUCAACAGCGUUGAUAAGAACCAGAGUCAAAGAUGCGGCCAUCUUGACCAACUGAUUUCGGCCACUGAACCAGGAGAAGCAUCACCAGCACCAUAUCAGAUAUGUGAUGGAAGCGACACACCAUGCAUCAGAGGAGAUCAUCUCGCCAUCUCUAUUACCGUCAUUCUCACUGUGUAUACGAGUGCAUCUGAAAUUAUUAAAUAAACUAGAUCAACAGAGACGUAUCUUAUAAUGACGCUGAUCAAUAGAAACGUACCUAUAAUGCCCCUGAUCAAGGAACGUAUCUUUUAAUGACUCAGACCAAUAGUGACAUAUCUAUAAUGCCCCUGAUCAAGGGACGUAUCAUGUAAUGACUCAGACCAAUAGUAACGUAUCUAUAAUGCCCCUGAUCAAGGGACGUAUCUUAUAAUGACUCAGACCAAUAGUAACGUAUCUAUAAUGCCCCUGAUCAAGGGACGUAUCUUAUAAUGACUCAGACCAAUAGUAACGUAUCUAUAAUGCCCCUGAUCAAGGAACGUAUCUUUUAAUGACUCAGACCAAUAGUGACAUAUCUAUAAUGCCCCUGAUCAAGGGACGUAUCAUGUAAUGACUCAGACCAAUAGUAACGUAUCUAUAAUGCCCCUGAUCAAGGGACGUAUCUUAUAAUGACUCAGACCAAUAGUAACGUAUCUAUAAUGCCCCUGAUCAAGGGACGUAUCUUUUAAUGACUCAGACCAAUAGUGACAUAUCUAUAAUGCCCCUGAUCAAGGGACGUAUCUUUUAAUGACUCAGAACAAUUGUAACGUACCUAUAAUGCCCCUGAUCAAGAGACGUAUCUUAUAAUGACUCAGACCAAUAGUAACGUAUCUAUAAAGCCCCUGAUCAAGGGACCUAUCAUGUAAUGACUCAGACCAAUAGUAACGUAUCUAUAAUUCCCCUGAUCAAGGGACGUAACUAUGAUGCAAUGCUCCAAGUCAUCAAAAUACAUGUUAUUGAUCCGAUAGAAAUAUUCACAACACAGUAUCAACACAUAGCAUGUCUUGCAACGCGACCGAAUCUCACUAUACCCCAGUGAAUGAAUUAUUCAUGCUUUCACAUAUCGAUUCCAUGAAGGCAGAAUCUGUAUUUCUGAAUAGCAGCAUUGAAACUCGAUACAGGGAUCUCUACGCUUGGAGCAUGAUAUCCCAACAUGAACUGAAUCCAAUCAAUGUUGGAAUUAAAAGAUGUCAUUGUCAUCCGGCCACUGAAACUGGAAAGGGACGCAUUGAAUAUGGUUUGUUGAAAAUGAAUGAAUGAAUGAAUGAAGGAAUGAAGGAAUGAAGGAAUGAAUGAUCUUUAUUUCUCCAAUAGGAUGAGUAGUCUGAGGAAGUAUGACUACGGGUAGGUAGGCGUGAAUACGUGUAAAAACAUACGAGGAUGGGUAGGUACUUGUGAGGACGAGCGAGGACAUGCGAGCACGUACGAGGACGGAUAGGUACUAGAGAGGACGAGUGAUGACGUACGAGGACGGAUAUGUACUUCAGAGGACAUGCGAGGACGGAUAGGUACGAACGAGGACAUGCGAGGACGUAUAGGUACGAGCGAGGACAUGCAAGGAUGGAUAGGUACGUGCCAGGACAUGCGAGGACGGGUAGGUACUUGAGAGGACAUGCGAGGACGGAUAGGUACGAGCCAGGACAUGGGAAGACGGAUAGGUAGGAGCGAGGACAUGCGAGGACGGGUAGGUACUUGAGAGGACAUGCGAGGACGGAUAGGUACGAGCCAGGACAUGGGAAGACGGAUAGGUAGGAGCGAGGACAUGCGAGGACGGGUAGGUACUUGAGAGGACAUGCGAUUACGGGUAGGUACUUGAGAGGACAGACGAGGACGGAUAGGUACGAGCCAGGACAUGGGAGGACGGAUAGGUAGGAGCGAGGACAUGCGAGGACGGAUAGGUACGUGCGAGGUCAUGCCAGGACGGGUAGGUACUUGAGAGGACAUGGGAGGACGGAUAGGUACUUGAGAGGACAUGCGAGGACGGGUAGGUACUUGUAAGGACUGGUGAGUACGUGUGAGGACUUACGAGGACUAGUGAGGACUGUACGAUCAUUAUCGACCACAAUCUCCCCGGCGAAUGUCCUGGUUAGGUUUGACUGAAGAUAUCUACAUUCGUCUGAAUGAGAGAGUGAAUGAAUAUUUCCAGUGUCCAAAAUAACUUGGCUCAUCCACUAUUAAAUAAUUGACUCCAGUAAUAUAUCUCCCAACGUGCAUAUACACACACAUAUACAUGUGUCAGACAGUAAAUAAAUACAGAUUGGAUUUACGAGUGUAAAUGGCAGCCAUGUUGGAAAAUGAUCGUCACUGUCUAAUCCGGCACCCUGUCUGAACCGGCAUUUUAUUUCGGUCUGGUUUAGACAGGUUUCACUGUAUCUUUCUCACUACAAUAAUUAAACCACAAAAAAGUCACGAUAUACCACAGGAA